GGGCCCGCACAAGCGGUGGAGCAUGUGGUUUAAUUCGACGCAACGCGAAGAACCUUACCAGGUCUUGACAUGCCCGUCAUAGUUUUCCGAAAGGAAUUCGUCAGUUCGGCUGGACGGUGCACAGGUGCUGCAUGGCUGUCGUCAGCUCGUGUCGUGAGAUGUUCGGUUAAGUCCGGCAACGAGCGCAACCCUCGUUCCUAGUUGCCAGCGGGUAAUGCCGGGGACUCUAGGAAGACAAACCUCGUGUAGAGGUGGGAAGGUGGGGACGACGUCAAGUCAGUAUGGCCCUUACGACCAGGGCUGCACACGUGCUACAAUGCCCAGCACAAUGGGAUGCAACACCGCGAGGUUGAGCAAAUCCACAAAACUGGGCCCAGUUCGGAUUGGAGUCUGCAACUCGACUCCAUGAAGUUGGAAUCGCUAGUAAUCG
rnacentral:rRNA from 1 species